UGUUUCAAGUAGCUUAAGCAAUGUCUCAGUUAUAAUUAAGCUAUAGGAAGGUCAACUAUUUUUGCUUCACUAUAUUUUGUAUUCUGAAGAACAUAUUGAUGUGUAGGAUCGAUAGCGUAGCCCAGUCAAGCAAUCGAGAACUGUAAACCUAUGUUGACUGUGCAGUCGGAAAUAUGUGAAAGACGCAUGGUUCUAAGGUUGAUAUUUUUUUAUUUUUACUGUUAAAGUUGAUUCUUGUAUGGUUGAUAUCCACCAGAAAUAUACAAGUUCUUAAUUCAGUCAAUUCUGAUCAUUGCAAAUUCCACUGAGAACUUCUGAAAUGCAAGCUUGGUCGUACUGGUAAAGAAAUAGGACUUAAUAUUAACUCAUGUGAAAU